ACAAUGGAGAGUUUGAUCCUGGCUCAGGAUGAACGCUGGCGGUCUGCUUAACACAUGCAAGUCGAACGGGUUCCUUCGGGAGCUAGUGGCGGACGGGUGAGUAACGCGUGAGAAUCUGCCCUUAGGUUCGGGACAACAGUUGGAAACGACUGCUAAUACCGGAUGUGCCG
rnacentral:rRNA from 1 species